rnacentral:tRNA from 1 species
ACCUGGGUGGCUCAGUCGGCUGAGCAUCUGACUUCAGCUCAGGUCGUGAUCUCCUACUCCGUGGGUUCGAGCCCUGCAUCAGGCU